rnacentral:lncRNA from 1 species
GGCCUGCAAGCCAUGCCCAACCAUCGCCGUAGCUUGGAUGCCAAAGAGCACGUCGACUGCUAGUGCGAUGCUCAUGAAGUCGUCCCAUUGAACGGAGGUCGUAGCUCGAUGAUAAGCUCAGUUAGGUGAAAAAUGAGACCCCCAGAACAUAUCAAACCUUCUCCCAAUGCCGUAAUCACCUGCCAAGCCCCUGCCUCGCCGUGAUCCACGUCGGAGCAUAUCCAUUUGCGGCAACCGCACUAGCCCGCCUAUGAAAAGGGCCCUUAGAUGCCCUUCGAGCCUGCACCACUCCACCAAAGAUCCUAGCUCCACCCAAAGCACCGUAGAAGGCCUAGGGGAGGUCUUCUUCCCUAGAUACGGUCGCCCGAUCCGCCUCGGGUCCGGGCUAAAUUCGCCCAAAGUGUUCAAUACCUUCUGCUCUAACCUCGCCCAUGGUCGCGUGGUAGGUCAUCCUCUCUGAUAUGUGUGUCAAUUUGAUGUGUGCGGGUAUUUGCGGUGAGCUCCAUCCCCGUCCGAAGUCGGUGAUCACUAGAGAGGAAGCUCCCGAAGAUAAGGUGUGCGCCGGUGAUCAAGUCCUCCACCCAUCGAUGCACAAUAGUCCCCUGAGCAAGCCUAAGCCAUUCCCAUCCUCGGAGUCGCCGCCAAUCGACGCGGGUGACCACCGCGAGCUCUUUGCUGCAGGUGAGAAGUUCAAAUCUCACAUCAGGGACCCAUCGUGAGGUUCUUUUCUUUUUCGAACCAUUUUUUGAAAGUGCCUUUCGCCUGAGUGCGUUUUCUUCCACAGCUAGCACAGUUUCCUCAAAGCGUUUCCUGUUUCCUCAAACUAGCCCCUAGAUAACUUUUUGUUUAUAAUAGAUAAGUCCGUGGGCGCAUUUCUUUUAUAGCUUUUACACAUAAAAUGAUUUUUGGUUGAUUCUUUUUAUGAAAACUUUAGUUUUCUGCCAUUUUUUUGUGAUAUUUAUUUAAAAAUAUUUUGGCACAACUUUUAUACGCGCACGGUAUUUACGUAGAUGUUGAUAUUUUGUGGCGUAGAUACCGAAGGAGAAGACACUGUCAUCCAUUGCACCGAGUCCACUUCCGACUUUGUUGAUCCAGGCAAGCAUGUUUGAACCUUUGAUAUGGUGUUUGUCUUCAUGUUUGCUCGAUAAAAAAAUUCUACAUGUAGACAUGGUAGCAUGCAUGUAUUGUCUCAAACUUGUGAAGUGACAGAAAUGUAUUGACGACCUAGUCACGCGGGAUGUGAUAGGUUGUGACCUGGUCAUGUUGGAGCAUGCUAGUACCUUAACAAACUUAACAACUCCAGUAUCAACAUAGAUAGACUCUUGUCAGUGUGUCACAAUAUUUUUCCGUGCUGCCACAUGCUUUCCUAGAAGGGAAUACGGUUUAGUAGGUUGCAAACCGAGCUCCAUGUACACAUCAAGUAGUGGGGCUGGAUGAAGGUUCCAUGGCUCUAGAAUAAUGCCAGUCAUCCGGUCAGGGGCAUGGUUUUUUCCGGCUGAGGCCGAGAGGGGGGAACCCCUUAGUUGCACGCGGUAUAAAUUUGAUCCCAUGCUAUUCGAGGUGUCAGCCUCCCCGCCUUAUUGUUUUUCUUGAGCGUUGUUUUGGGUGAUUCCGGGCCUUGCAGGGUGAAAUGGGCAUGUACUGGUUAUGUGUGUUUACUUCUAAAAUACCAUAGGCGGGAUUAGUCUCGCUGACUAUUGAAACCAGUUGACUGUGGUAAAGAGUACACCCUCUACAAUGUCAAAACUAUUCGAGUAGUCGGGUCCACGAUCAAAGACGGCUUGUUGAUAGGUCAAGUGUUUGUCUAUGUGUCGGUGUUCGGAGAGCAAAUAAUCUUUUAUGAGAAUACUAUCCUAUGAAAUUAUGAAUGUGAUGCUUUUGGCUAACCUGUUACAAUGACUGAUGCAUUGAGUACUCCAUGGGUUGGUCCUUGUUGGUGUCAAAACUGGCUCAUCUCGAGUAGGGGGUCUGCAUUGUGGAUCUAGGGUCGAUGGGUAACAAGAGACAAAGAAGACGGUGUUUUACCCAGGUUCGGGCCCUCUUAAUGAAGGGAAAACCCUACGUCCUGCUCUUGUUGGUAUUGAUGGAGUAGUAUAGAGCACAAACUUUAUCUACUUCAAGAUCAGAUGUUGUGGUCUAAACCCUAAUCGUAAUGAGCUUAAUGUGUCCUACGAACUAUGUCCCCUGGCUUAUUGAUAUGUCUUCAACGUAUUGAUAAUUUAUGAAGUAUUCAUGCCAUGUUUACCUAUGUUUACAAUACUUUUAUAUGGUUUUGUUGCACUUUAUACGAUUUAUUUCAAACUAACCCGGACUAACACUGUUUUCAGGAGUACUAACAUGGUGUUGUUUUUUAUGCAGAAAUAAAAGUUCUCGAAAUUGGACGAAACUUUUUGAUUUNAAAUUGGACGAAACUCUUUGAUUUUUUUGAAGAAAAGAGAAAUAUUGGAGCAAAGAACCACUAGAGGGGCCCCCUAGUGCCCACUAGACACCAGGUCGUGCGAGCCCCCCUAGUGUGGGCUAAUGUCUAGUGGGCACCUCGUGGCCUAUCUUGGCGUGAUUCCAAUGCCCAAAAGUCCUAUAAAUAUAUAAAUCUCUAGAAAUAACCCUAGAUGAGAAGUUUCGCUGUCGUAAACCUCUGUAGCCAUGAAAAACCAAUUGGGAGCCCGUUCCGGCACCCUUCCGGAGGGGGGAUCAUCUUCGGUGGACAUCUUCAUCAUCCCAGCGGAGGCCAUGAUGAGGAGGGAGUAGUCCACCCUCGGGGCUGAGGGUUCGUACCCGUAGCUAUGUGUUUAAUAUCCCUCUCUCUCGUGUUCUUGAGAUGUCAUGAUCUUGAUAUAUCAUGGGCCUUGUUAACAUAGUUGGAUCAUAUGGUGUUUUCCCAUACUAUUGUUGUGAUGAAUUGAGUCUUUCACUUUAAGAUCUCGUUAUAUGGAUUGAGUAUUAAUGUUUGAGAGCACAUGAUAAAUGUCUUGCAUGCGG